CUCUGUUUUAAUCUCGGCUACGUUUUUGAAUCGGUCUUGUAAACUUGUUCUUAAGUUAGAACGGUCGUCUCUUAAGAGAUCGUCUCAGUGUGAAAUUUUCGACAAAUUUUGACGGUCAUAUACUGCCCACCUCAGUUUAAAACUACAGACAUCUAAUUUAAAGACUUUUUUGGAACACUAGGCUAUAGAUUUAUAGCAGGUGGAGAUUACAAUGCAAAACAUACGUAUUGGGGAUCACGACUAAUUAAUCCGAAAAGGCGACAACUGUAUCACACUAUUAAAAAUAGGCACAAUAACAUUGAAAUAAUAUCUCCUGGUAAGCCGACAUAUUGGCCUAGUAAUCGUAAGAAAAUACCAGAUUUAAUUGAUUUUGCUGUAAUCAAAAACUUGGAUAAAUCGCACAUAACAGCUGAUACUGUACUGAUCUAUCUUCUGAUCACUUGUACUAAUAAAGUUAUGUGAACAACCCAUAUUCGUUAAUCCAAAAGUGGGUCUAACUUCUUAUAAAACGAAUUGGCUAAAAUAUAAAAAAUACGUGAGUAGCCACAUUAAUAUUGACUACAAAAUAAAUAUGGGAAGAGAUAUUGACGAAAGCAUAAGAGAAGUCAAUGAUAUAAUAACCAGCGCAGCUGUCUUAGCAACACCAAAAAAAAAGCUAUAAGCCGCUUGGUUUCAGAAAAAUCUCUAAUAGAGAAAUGCGUGUAAAUGAAAAAAGGCGUGCAAGACGUGAAUGGCAGAUAAAUCGUUCCCCUUCCACUCAGCUUCAAUUAAAAUCUGCUGUACGUAAAUUAAAAAAAGCGCUUAAACGUGAGAAAGAAUUGAACACCGCAAUGUAUACAAAGAAGCUGUGUCCAAAUUCAAACAAGCAAAAUUCUCUUUGGAAAGCCCAAAAAUCCAUGAAGCCACCAACUGACUACAACAUGCCUAUACGAGACUUGGGCGGAAAUUGGGCUCGAAGUGAUGAGGAAAAGACUAAUUGCUUUGCAAAUCAGCUAGAAAAGGUAUUUCAAUCCAAUUUGCCAAAGAACAACUUUAAGCUGUCAAUCUUACCCAACGCAGCUAAAGAGUCGCUUGAGUCUCUUAAGACUUCACCUUCUGAAAUUAUUGGUAUCAUCAAAGAACUUAAUCCAAAAAAGUCGCCAGAACAUGAUAAUAUUUCACCAAAAAUGCAAAUUGCUCUCCAAUGCAAUUCUUAGUUUCGGAUACUAUCCAAUUUCAUGGAAAAAGUCGCAGAUUAUCUUGAUAGAUAAACAUGGGAAAGACUUAACACAGCCGUCUUCAUACAGACCAAUCAGUCUUCUACCCUGUCUUUCAAAAGUAUUUGAAAAAGUAUUAGUAUCAAAGAUCAAGUAAAUAGAAUUACUAACGAGAUAAGGAAAGCAUUUGAGCAAAGGGAGUACUGUUCAGCAAUAUUUCUAGAUGUAGCUCAGGCGUUUGAUGAAGUGUGGCACGAAGGCCUUUUAUAUAAGAUUAAAAAAAUUCUACCUUUUGAAUUGUAUGAAACAUUGGAGUCUUAUUUAAAUAAUAGACAAUUUGUAGUGAAAGUAGGAGAUUUCAUAUCUGAUGAACGACAUAUAAGGGCUGGUGUACCACAGGGCAGCGUUUUAGGCCCAACUCUAUACAUCAUAUAUACAGCAGACCUUCCAACAGCUAACAAUGUAUUAACAUCAACUUUUGCGGAUGAUACAGCUAUAGUGAGCCGUAACAAUUGCCACAUUUUAGCAUCAAGAAUACUAGCGGAGCAUUUAAGAUCUGUCGAAGAAUGGCUAGCGAACUGGCGUAUAAAUGUGAAUGAACAGAAAUUACCCCAAGCGAACGAAGUAACAUAUCUUGGUGUUCACCUAGAUAGAAGGCUCACGUGGAGAAAACACAUCUCUAGUAAAAUAACAUGUAUGAAGAUUAGAGCUGCAAAUUUAAAUUGGCUUUUAAAUUAAAACUCUGAACUUAGCCUAGACAACAAAGUGCUUUUAUAUAAGGCGGAAGGAAAGCCGAUUUGGAUGUAUGGCAUUCAACUGUGGGGUACGACCUGAGCAACUAAUAUUGAUAUAAUACAAAGGUUCCAAUCGACAAUGCUUAGAACAAUUACGUGUUCACCGUGGUAUGUACAUGCGUAACGAAAAUAUCCAUAAAGACCUUGGUAUUCCUAUGGUAAAGAAAGAAAUAGAAGACAGCAGAAUUAAAUAUAUGUAUAUCUAAACUCCGAGAUCACCCAAACCCUUUGGCUUAUUCAGAUUAUAUAAAACUGUCGAA